rnacentral:snRNA from 1 species
AGGGUUUAUUGGCAAAGUAGA